rnacentral:lncRNA from 1 species
AAGAACGCCAGGGGCGGGGCGACCGCGGCUGCGGCUCCUCCCUCGGGCAGAGGGAGUCCAGAUGCGAGGGACGCCCUCCAGAGCCGAGCUGGGCCGGCCGGGCAGCUAGGGUGCUGGGAGGUUGCGGUGCAGGCGCUGAGACGCAGGCCUUUCCUGGCGCGAAGCGACUCGCCCCGGAGCUCCCCUGCACCGUCCUGGGUGUCAGGACGCGUCAACCCAGAUGACCCGACCCGGAGAUCCUGGAUCCUCUGCCCUCUUCCCCCUACCAAGUCCUUAACCGGAGAGGGAGGAGCUACCAAUGUCCUCCAGACGUUCUCCAAAGCCCGAGCUGCCGGGAGAAGCUUGCUCAAGGCGGGUGCGCCCCUCAGACGUUUGUUUGCACGCAGGGGUUUUGACGUUUCGCUAAGCAACAGCGUUUGCCAGGGAAUCAGGGCUGUUUCGAAGAGCUUGCGUCUAUUUGAUGCUCCCAUCUUGAACAAAUCGUUUCCAUUCGAUUUGUUUAACCAAGGCGAGGGCGGACUAUGUUGUUACUUAAAAGUUAUUCUUCAUCCAAGCUGUCCUCAGAUUUUCAUCUAAGGGUGUCAUAACACCCCAGGUCGUUGCGCAAAUGUUUUGUGACAAUUUAGAAAACCAGAGGGGGGAAAUAUCCUUAGAGAAAAAAUCAUAACCAACAAGAAAAUUAUGUUAAAUGAUGUUGGUCCUUUUUCAUCGGAUGGUCCCAGUUGACACAUAGUCUUUUACAAAACCAGUGACUAUUCACAGUCUUCAAUUUAUGGCACAUCUCCCGGUGGGGGCGAAGUGCAUGAAUGGGUCCCACCUUAUUCACCAGCUGAAACUCUGAACAAGCCUUGGGGUUUCCUCUCCCAAAG